AUGGGCCAUGGCUUCUUAGAGCAGCCCGCUUUACUGACAGAUGCUCCAGUGAGAAUCAGCAAUCAUUUGCAUUCGGAGAGGGUAUCACAGUUGAUAAUGGAUUUUACAAACAUCGUCACGUCUCUUCUUUCAGCAGCUCUACGUGGCGCACAGGACAGGGACCAGCUCAUCCCCAUUUUGCAGCUGGAGAAACUGAGACUCAAAAGAGUAGAAUCCAGACUUGACAGCGAUUCUUCCAUUACAGCUCAGGCCCUCUCUCCCCCCAACAAAUCCACCUUUCUAAAAGACCAUUUACUGAUUCACUUCUACUCUGUUCUUUUGCAGAAAACCAGUGGCCAUCACCACCAUUCUCCUGAUGGACUGCUGUCACCUCCUUACAUCGGGGGACUUGUCCUUCGACCAGUGCGUGGAGAGCCCCACUGUGUCUCCCAGGGCUCUGUAGCCAGGCACUGCAGUUGCAAGACUAAAGAAGCUCAUUGACAACUCCAGGAUGCCUGGACAAGCCGCCCUUGAGGGAGGGCAGUGGGCCGCACGCCAGGCUCUGGAAGCCUUCCUGGAAUUCGGCAUAAUUUCUGACAACCAGGUGGUACUUAACACACACGGGAUAAAGGUGACUUCAGAGGAGCUGCUGGUGCGUUCGUGCCAGCGAACAUGUAUCGAGGACUUGCGGUGUGCACAGCCUUGUGUUGGCUGCAGUGGCUAGAGCUGUUUGGGUUCAUUUUCUGCUGCUACACCAGGAUACCCGGGACUGGGUAAUUUAUAGGGAGCAUGCAUUUAUUGGGCUCGCUGUUCUGGAGGCUGGGAAAUGCAAGAGCGUGGCACCAGCAUCAGGAAAGGAAGGGCUGUCCUCCAGUGUAGGGAUCAAAAACAUGGACUCCUCCGGAAUCAGACUUUUUAAAGAUUUAUUUAUUUAUUUGAAAGGCAGAGUUAUAAACAGAGAGAGGGAGAGAAAGAGAGAGAGGUCUUCCAUCCUCUGGUUUACCUCCCAAAUGGCUGCAACAGCCAGAGCUGGGCCAAUCCAAAGCUAGGAUCCAGGACCUUGUUUUGGGUCUCCCACAUGGAUGCAGGGGCCCAAGGACCUGGGAUGCCCUCCACUGCUUUCCCAGGCAAAUAGCAGGGAGCUGGAUCAGAAGUGGAGCAACCAGUACUUGAACCGGUACCUGUAUGGAAUGAUGGCACUGCAGGCAUAGGCCUAACCUAUGAUGCCACAGUGCUGGCCCCAAGAAUUAGACUCUGAGCCUUGAUUUUCUCAUCUGUAAAGUAAGGACAGUCCAAUAAGUUGCCUUAGGGACAUAUAAAACCACGAGGAGAGUGAGUAGGUAUUUAGCCCUGCUAAAGAGGGCCAUGUGGCACAUCAGAGUGUUUGGGCUCAAUUCUGGCCUGGGUUCCAGCUCCUGAUUCCAGCUUCCUGCUAAUGCAGACCCUGGAAGGCAGCACGUAAUGGUUCAGGUGAUUGGGGGUUUUCUAUCGAGCUGGGUUAUCUGGAUUAAGUUCCUGGCUUCCGGCUUCAACCUGGCACAGCCUCAGUCUCUCUGCUUCUCAGAUAACAACAACAAAUAAAAUAAUUUCAAAUAAAAACUCUCA
ensembl:lncRNA